CCUACGGGUGGCUGCAGUGGGGAAUAUUGCGCAAUGGGCGAAAGCCUGACGCAGCGACGCCGCGUGAAGGAUGAAGGUCUUCGGAUCGUAAACCUCUGUCAGCAGGGAAGAACGGUCACUGUGCUAAUCAGCAGUGAAUUGACGGUACCUGCAAAGGAAGCACCGUCUAACUCCGUGCCAGCAGCCGCGGUCAUACGGAGGGUGCGAGCGUUGAUCGGAAUUACUGGGCGUAAAGCGCACGGAGGCGGUAUGUCAAGUCAAGGGGUAAAUCCCCGGGCUCAACGUGGGAACUGCCUUUGAAACUGGUGAACUGGAGUGUGUGAGAGGAUAGUGGAAUGCCAGGUGUAGGAGUGAAAUCCGUAGAUAUCUGGAGGAACAUCGGUGGCGAAGGCGACUAUCUGGCACAUAACUGACGCUGAGGAGCGAAAGCGUGGGUAGCAAACAGGAUUAGAUACCCGGGUAGUC
rnacentral:rRNA from 1 species